UGUUCUUUGCAAGUCACCUCUGGGUUUGGCUCUCAGGUCUUUCCUGGAUCUGAUGGAGAAUAAAGUUUUGUUGUUGUUGUUGUUAUUUGUUUGUUUGUUUUGUAAGCCUGUUUUUCUCUGCUUUCUCUAUUUCAGGGAUUACUAGGGAUUUUUGAUCUGAUCACCACACACCCACAUGGUAUACAGACUCAACCUUCCCAAGAGAACUAAUUUUGUUGAAUCUUUAGAGAUGGUGGUUAUACCCACUCAACCAUUUUGAUUCAAUAUUAUGUUUCUGCAAGGCAUUACAGUCAAGCAAGUAUACCCCUAUACACAUGUGUGUGUGUCAGUGUGACUGUAUGCUGCUUGUGUGGGAGGGCCAGUGGAGGCCUGGUGGUGGUGCUAGGAGCUAAACUCAGGUCCUCUGGAAGAGAAAGAAGCACUCCUAACCACUGAGCAAUCCCUCCAGCCCACAGUGCAUCUCUAAUUUUCCACUUUGCUUUAUGAAUAUAGUUAUCCAGGUGUGACAAUACACACCUUUAAUCCUAGCACCUGGGACUCGAUUCAGUUGCUGGCAUCUGAGGGCUACAGAAGCCCCUCCAAGGAACCUGAGAGAUCCAGGGAAGUUUAGAGUGGAGAUGCAGAUGAACGCGUAGAGUGCACUGCAUUUCCGGAAUAACUAAAAAAGGCAGGUUUUGUUGGAAGAUGCUUUUAAAAAGUGGUUUCAUAUAACUGGAGAAAAAAAAGAUGGUGCAACAGAGUCCCCCGCAGCAGAGAAAAGCACAACUAGAAAGAAACGAAGCAGCAGGGAUAGGCAUGUGAGCAUGGGACACACAGAGAAGCAUGCUGUUAUGGAAUGGGGCUUGUCCACGGGACGACAGGACCGUGAUGAAGCCCCGGCUGCUGUGGCUUAUAUAGCCCUCCCUGCUGGGCAGAGGAGAGCAUGGACCUCCGCGCUGCCUGUGGGCUGCAGACACGAAGGUGAUGCCCGGGGUCCUGGCAGGGCGCCAAGGGCAGGAUGGUGGACAGCAGGCUGUAGCUUGAGUAGGCCCUGUUCCCGGACAUGCUACCCAACUGCAUCAUCACCCUGACUCUGAGCAACAAAAAGUUGUACUGAGAUGAAGAACGGUUCAUUUUCUGGAUCAAGCCUCCUCAAAAGACCCUCCUAGGAGACACGGACCAUGCUGCCGCCAGAGACCAUGUUGAUGUCUGUGAUUUGUGUUACCACUGGAGGCCGUGUUCAUGUCCGCGAUCUAGGCUAUCACCAGAAACCUUGUUGAAGUCCUGUGGUCUGUGUUUCCGGAGACCAUGUUGAGGUCUGUGCUCUGUGCUGCUGCUGGAGGCCAGGUUGAUGUCAGUAAAUCCAUGCUGCCUCCAGAAACCAUAUUGAAGUUCAUGUUCUGUGCAGCUGCCAGCUGGUAGCCCCCUACCUGGACCCCUCGCCAGAAAAAAAGAAAAAAAAGGAGAAAAAAAUUAUGAUAAAGAUGCUGAAGUGCAGCUCUUCUCAGCUGAUGGCUUCCAGCAGGGGUGGGAAAAGGCGUGGAAAGUUCUCAGUUAUCUUUAGGGGGCUAGCCAUUGAGAGUCUGA
rnacentral:lncRNA from 1 species